CGGACAGCUCUGAACCCAAGUCUUCUGUGUAUCCACAGAACGGACAAAAUUGUCAGCAAAUGUGCAGGCUUCCUCCAUAACGCUCCCGGUCACUGUACCUUCACCUCAUCCUGGAAGAUCUCCUAUAGAGGUGAGAGGGGACUUCAGCCCCCUGGCCAAUUCAAUACUUGGCCUCU
ensembl:misc_RNA